rnacentral:rRNA from 1 species
GACGAACGCUGGCGGCGUGCUUAACACAUGCAAGUCGAACGGAAAGGCCCUGCUUUUGUGGUGUGCUCGAGUGGCGAACGGGUGAGUAACACGUGAGUAACCUGCCCUUGUCUUUGGGAUAACUUCAGGAAACUGGGGCUAAUACCGGAUAGGAGCUCCUGCUGCAUGGUGGGGGUUGGAUAGUUUCGGCGGUUGGGGAUGGACUCGCGGCUUAUCAGCUCGUUGGUGGGGUAGUGGCUUACCAAGGCUUUGACGGGUAGCCGGCCUGAGAGGGUGACCGGCCACAUUGGGACUGAGAUACGGCCCAGACUCCUACGGGAGGCAGCAGUGGGGAAUAUUGCACAAUGGGCGGAAGCCUGAUGCAGCAACGCCGCGUGCGGGAUGACGGCCUUCGGGUUGUAAACCGCUUUCGCCUGUGACGAAGCGUGAGUGACGGUAAUGGGUAAAGAAGCACCGGCUAACUACGUG